GAUGAACGCUGGCGGCGUGCUUAACACAUGCAAGUCGAACGAAGCACCUUGAUUUGAUUCUUCGGAUGAAGAUCUUGGUGACUGAGUGGCGGACGGGUGAGUAACGCGUGGGUAACCUGCCUCAUACAGGGGGAUAACAGUUAGAAAUGACUGCUAAUACCGCAUAAGACCACAGCACCGCAUGGUGCAGGGGUAAAAACUCCGGUGGUAUGAGAUGGACCCGCGUCUGAUUAGGUAGUUGGUGGGGUAACGGCCUACCAAGCCGACGAUCAGUAGCCGACCUGAGAGGGUGACCGGCCACAUUGGGACUGAGACACGGCCCAAACUCCUACGGGAGGCAGCAGUGGGGAAUAUUGCACAAUGGGGGAAACCCUGAUGCAGCGACGCCGCGUGAGCGAUGAAGUAUUUCGGUAUGUAAAGCUCUAUCAGCAGGGAAGAAAAUGACGGUACCUGA
rnacentral:rRNA from 1 species